AGCGAACGCUGGCGGUAGGCCUAACACAUGCAAGUCGAACGGCAGCACAGUAAGAGCUUGCUCUUACGGGUGGCGAGUGGCGGACGGGUGAGGAAUACAUCGGAAUCUACUUUUUCGUGGGGGAUAACGUAGGGAAACUUACGCUAAUACCGCAUACGACCUACGGGUGAAAGCAGGGGAUCUUCGGACCUUGCGCGAUUGAAUGAGCCGAUGUCGGAUUAGCUAGUUGGCGGGGUAAAGGCCCACCAAGGCGACGAUCCGUAGCUGGUCUGAGAGGAUGAGCCGCCACGCGGGAGCGAACAGACGGUCCGGGACCCGAGGGGGGGCAGGAGUGGGAAAUGUGGGAGAAGGGGGGAAAGCUGCAUCCAGCCAAGCCGCGUGGGGGAAGAAGGCCUUGGGGUUGAAAACGCCUUUUGUGGGGAAAAAAAAGGCGAGGGGUAACCCCCCGUUUUUUUGCGGGACCCAAAGAAAAAGGCCCCGCUAACUUCGUG
rnacentral:rRNA from 1 species